UUAGAAAAGUAGGGGUCGAACCUACGCAGAGAGAUCAAAGCCCUCCAUACUCCCUCUAUAUUAUUUUCU
rnacentral:tRNA from 1 species